rnacentral:rRNA from 1 species
AAAGACUGACGCUCAUGCACGAAAGCGUGGGGAUCAAACAGGAUUAGAUACCCUGGUAGUCCACGCUGUAAACGAUGAUCACUCGUUGUUGGCGAUAUACUGUCAGCGACUGAGCGAAAGCAUUAAGUGAUCCACCUGGGGAGUACGGCGGCAACGUUGAAACUCAAAGGAAUUGACGGGGGCCCGCACAAGCGGAGGAGCAUGUGGUUUAAUUCGAUGAUACGCGAGGAACCUUACCUGGGCUUAAAUGUAGGACGACGUUUCGUGAAAGCGGAAUUUCCUUCGGGACGUCUUACAAGGUGCUGCAUGGUUGUCGUCAGCUCGUGCCGUGAGGUGUCGGGUUAAGUCCCAUAACGAGCGCAACCCUUAUCAUUAGUUGCCAUCAGGUCAUGCUGGGAACUCUAAUGAAACUGCCUACGCAAGUAGUGAGGAAGGUGGGGAUGACGUCAAAUCAGCACGGCCCUUAUGUCCAGGGCGACACACGUGCUACAAUGGCCAGUACAGAGGGUUGCGAA